UCAAAAUAGCGAAAAUAUAUGCACGUAUUGCUUCGUAUAUAGAUCAGUGGGAAUUUCCAUUUUGCGACUAUCCAUGGAGAAGGAGACGGAGAAGGAGACCAAAUUCACCCGAAACCUAUAGUUGCUGGCACAGGUGCCCCAGCAACUAAUUAGCAUAUUAGCACGGAAAAGUGCCAAAAACGGAAAAAAAUUAGUAUAUUAGCACGGAAAAGUGCCCAAAACGGAAAAAAAUUAGCAUAUUAGCACGGAAAAGUGCCCAAAACGGAAAAAAAUUAGCAUAUUGGCACAGAAAAGUGCCCAAAACGGAAAAAAUUAGCAUAUUAGCACGGAAAAGUGCCCAAAACGGGAAAAAAUUAGCAUAUUGGCACGGAAAAGUGUCCAAAACGGAAAAGAUUAGCAUAUUAGCACGGAA